CAUGUCAUUAAAACAUCAGUUCCAAUACAAUCAACAAAGUUAAGCAAUGUUGGGCCUGGUAGGUAACUAGAUGGGUGACCACUUGGGAAUACCUGGUGCUAUA